AAAGUGGUCUAGUGGUUAGUGCGUUCGUCUCGAAUUUGGGAGGUCGUGGGUUUGAUCCCCGGCUGAGUCA